rnacentral:rRNA from 1 species
GACGAACGCUGGCGGCGUGCUUAACACAUGCAAGUCGAACGGAAAGGCCCUGCUUUUGUGGGGUGCUCGAGUGGCGAACGGGUGAGUAACACGUGAGUAACCUGCCCUUGACUUUGGGAUAACUUCAGGGAACUGGGGCUAAUACCGGAUAGGAGCUCCUGCUGCAUGGUGGGGGUUGGAAAGUUUCGGCGGUUGGGGAUGGACUCGCGGCUUAUCAGCUUGUUGGUGGGGUAGUGGCUUACCAAGGCUUUGACGGGUAGCCGGCCUGAGAGGGUGACCGGCCACAUUGGGACUGAGGUACGGCCCAGACUCCUACGGGAGGCAGCAGUGGGGAAUAUUGCACAAUGGGCGGAAGCCUGAUGCAGCAACGCCGCGUGCGGGAUGACGGCCUUCGGGUUGUAAACCGCUUUCGCCUGUGACGGAGCGUGAGUGACGGUAAUGGGUAAAGAAGCACCGGCUAACUACGUG